UACGAAGGGGGCUAGCGUUGUUCGGAUUUACUGGGCGUAAAGCGCGUGUAGGCGGGUCGUUAAGUUGGGGGUGAAAUCCCGAGGCUCAACCUCGGAACUGCCUCCAAAACUGGCGACCUGGAGCAAGAUAGAGGCGAGUGGAAUUCCGAGUGUAGAGGUGAAAUUCGUAGAUAUUCGGAGGAACACCAGUGGCGAAGGCGACUCGCUGGAUCUUUGCUGACGCUGAGACGCGAAAGCGUGGGGAGCAAACAGG
rnacentral:rRNA from 1 species